CAGCCGCCGCGGUAAUACGAAGGGGGCUAGCGUUGUUCGGAUUUACUGGGCGUAAAGGGCGCGUAGGCGGACUGAUAAGUCAGGGGUGAAAUCCCAAGGCUCAACCUUGGAACUGCCUUUGAUACUGUUUGUCUUGAGUUCGAGAGAGGUAAGUGGAACUGCGAGCGUAGAGGUGAAAUUCGUAGAUAUUCGCAAGAACACCAGUGGCGAAGGCGGCUUACUGGCUCGAAACUGACGCUGAGGCGCGAAAGCGUGGGGAGCAAACAGGAUUAGAUACCCGAGUAGUCCCUGUCUCUUAUAC
rnacentral:rRNA from 1 species